GACGAACGCUGGCGGCGUGCUUAACACAUGCAAGUCGAACGGAAAGGCCCUGCUUUUGUGGGGUGCUCGAGUGGCGAACGGGUGAGUAACACGUGAGUAACCUGCCCUUGACUUUGGGAUAACUUCAGGAAACUGGGGCUAAUACCGGAUAGUAGCUCCUGCUGCAUGGUGGGGGUGGGAAAGUUUCGGCGGUUGGGGAUGGACUCGCGGCUUAUCAGCUUGUUGGUGGGGUAGUGGCUUACCAAGGCUUUGACGGGUAGCCGGCCUGAGAGGGUGACCGGCCACAUUGGGACUGAGAUACGGCCCAGACUCCUACGGCAGGCAGCAGUGGGGAAUAUUGCACAAUGGGCGGAAGCCUGAUGCAGCAACGCCGCGUGCGGGAUGACGGCCUUCGGGUUGUAAACCGCUUUCGCCUGUGACGAAGCGUGAGUGACGGUAAUGGGUAAAGAAGCACCGGCUAACUACGUG
rnacentral:rRNA from 1 species